GACAGGGGGUGCAAGCGUUGCUCGGAAUCACUGGGCGUAAAGCGCGCGUAGGCGGUCUCGUAAGUCGGGUGUGAAAGCCCUCAGCCUAACUGAGGAACUGCGCCCGAUACUGCGAGGCUAGAGGAUGGGAGGGGAGAGUGGAAUUCCUGGUGGAGCGGUGAAAUGCGUAGAUAUCAGGAGGAACACCAGUGGCGAAGGCGACUCUCUGAUCCAUUCCUGACGCUGAGGUGCGAAAGCUAGGGGAGCAAACGGG
rnacentral:rRNA from 1 species